rnacentral:rRNA from 1 species
GACGAAGGAUGCAAGCGUUAUCCGGAUUCAUUGGGUUUAAAGGGAGCGUAGGUGGUCUUAUAAGUCAGUGGUGAAAUCUCUCAGCUUAACUGAGAAAUUGCCAUUGAUACUGUAGGACUUGAGUAUAGUUGCCGUUGGCGGAAUAUGACAUGUAGUGGUGAAAUACAUAGAGAUGUCAUAGAACACCGAUUGCGAAGGCAGCUGACGAAACUAUAACUGACACUGAGGCUCGAAAGUGCGGGGAUCAAACAGG